rnacentral:rRNA from 1 species
UACGUAGGGGGCAAGCGUUGUCCGGAAUCAUUGGGCGUAAAGAGCGUGUAGGCGGCCCGGUAAGUCCGCCGUGAAAGUCCAGGGCUCAACCCUGGAAUGCCGGUGGAAACUGCCGGGCUGGAGUCCGGAAGAGGCGAGUGGAAUUCCUGGUGUAGCGGUGAAAUGCGCAGAUAUCAGGAGGAACACCAGUGGCGAAGGCGGCUUCCUGGCCUGUAACUGACGCUGAGACGCGAAAGCGCGGGGAGCGAACCGG